UCCUAUAAGAAAUUCAACAAACUAGGGAUACUAAAGAUGAUAACACUCAUUAUAUAUCAGUAAAAUUAAAAGGGAUACAUUUAAAUGUUCAAAACUUAACUCAAUAUGCAGAUGUAAAUUGUAAGAAAGCAGCUCUUCGACUGCAAAGUAUACGUGGCCACAUUCUGAUGAGAGCAAAUCUGAAACCCAGAGGCAUAGAAAGCUCGUUGUCAUGGCAACAUUUGAUCAAAAGAUACACGUGCAGACGCCUCCCAAAGCUCGUCCAUUUUCUUAACACUGAAACUUACAUUUUGACCUAAAACAGAUAACUCUCACUCAAUGGAGAAAUUUCACAUGGGAAUUCAUAUUGAAUUCCAGUCAGAUCAAACCUCACCAUCAGAAAAUAUAAAAAAAUUCUGAUCCCAGAAGCCUAACGAUAUUCGCAACAAUUCAUUUCUUUUAGCCAUCAAUCGAAGCCAGAUAUCAG
rnacentral:lncRNA from 1 species